UGGGGAAUAUUGCACAAUGGGCGGAAGCCUGAUGCAGCGACGCCGCGUGGGGGAUGAAGGCCUUCGGGUUGUAAACUCCUUUCGACAGGGACGAAGCUUUUGUGACGGUACCUGUAUAAGAAGCACCGGCUAACUACGUGCCAGCAGCCGCGGUAAUACGUAGGGUGCGAGCGUUGUCCGGAAUUACUGGGCGUAAAGAGCUCGUAGGUGGUUUGUCGCGUCGUCUGUGAAAUUCCGGGGCUUAACUCCGGGCGUGCAGGCGAUACGGGCUGACUUGAGUGCUGUAGGGGAGACUGGAAUUCCUGGUGUAGCGGUGAAAUGCGCAGAUAUCAGGAGGAACACCGAGGGCGAAGGCAGGUCUCUGGGCAGUAACUGACGCUGAGGAGCGAAAGCAUGGGUAGCGAACAGG
rnacentral:rRNA from 1 species